GUUAUAUGGUUAAGUGAAUAAGUGUAUAAGGUGGAUGUUUUGGUGGUUAGAGGUGAUGAAGGAUGUGGUAGUUUGUGAAAAGUAUUGGGGAGUUGGUAAUAAGUUUUGAUUUGGUAAUGUUUGAAUGGGGAAAUUUAUUUGUUUGUGGGUAUUUUGUAGUGAAUAUAUAGUUGUUGGAAGUGAAUCUGGUGAAUUGAAAUAUUUAAGUAAUUAGAGGAAAAGAAAUUAAUUG
rnacentral:rRNA from 1 species